rnacentral:rRNA from 1 species
ACAUGCAAGUCGAACGGAAACGAUGGGAGCUUGCUCCCAGGCGUCGAGUGGCGGACGGUGAGUAAUACUUAGGAAUCUACCCAGUAGCGGGGGACAACUCGAGGAAACUCGAGCUAAUACCGCAUACGCCCUACGGGGGAAAGCAGGGGAUCUUCGGACCUUGCACUAUUGGAUGAGCCUAAGUCGGAUUAGCUUGUUGGUGAGGUAAAGGCUCACCAAGGCGACGAUCCGUAGCUGGUCUGAGAGGACGAUCAGCCACACUGGGACUGAGACACGGCCCAGACUCCUACGGGAGGCAGCAGUGGGGAAUAUUGGACAAUGGGGGCAACCCUGAUCCAGCAAUGCCGCGUGUGUGAAGAAGACCUGCGGGUUGUAAAGCACUUUCAGUAGAGAAGAAAAGCCUACGGUUAAUACCCGUAAGUCUUGACGUUACCUACAGAAGAAGCUCCGGCUAACUCCGUGCCAGCAGCCGCGGUAAUACGGAGGGAGCGAGCGUUAAUCGGAAUUACUGGGCGUAAAGCGCGCGUAGGCGGCUUUGUAAGUCGGAUGUGAAAGCCCUGGGCUCAACCUGGGAAUGGCAUUCGAUACUGCAGAGCUAGAGUAUGGUAGAGGGAAGUGGA